CCUGCUCCAACAAGAGUGGCAAUUCCAACAACAACAAAUCAACACAAUAUACGAACUCUACAACUGUCAGGUUAAAAAACAUCAUCAUGUAAAGAAAACUAAAGUGUCAUGUGACUCUCUUUGACCUUUGUGGAAAUUGUUUCAUCCUUGCUACAGGAAGAAAAUCAGCAUUUAGCAUGGCUGAGAUGAGGACAUUGAGGUGCAGUUUGGUCAAGAGACUUACUUGCUCAAGAUCUCCCAAGUCGCUUGCAUCAACUUGCUGAUCAUGUGAGUGAGGCACCCUACGAGUGGAUAUGCCACCUCCCAUCAAGUCUUCAGAUGAAAGCAGCCUUAGUGGACAACUUGACUGCAACCUCAUGAAAGAUUUUGAAUUCGAACAGUUCAGCUAAGCUGCUUCCAAACUUCUCACCCACAG